rnacentral:lncRNA from 1 species
GUUAUGUUUAAUUGGACUUGGGAUGUUUGGAUAACUUAAAAAAAUAAUAAUAAAUAAAUAAAAUCUGAAAAUUCUGUGAGGUCAAUUGACCUCACAUGACUCCAUGUGGGUUCGUCCUUGCUUAUAAAUGCAUUCUUAGGUAUAUUUGAAACAUUCUACUACACUUUGUCUUCAUUUUAGGCUUGCGGCUACCUUGACUUUGGAAGGUUUUUUGAUGCGUCCACUAAUGGAUACCGUUUGUUCCUUGGGAGUAUUUGAUAAAAUGGUGCUCUAGAAAGCAAAAAAUGGUUGCAAAAUCUAGUAUUGAGUCUGAAUAUUGGACAUUAGCACAAGUUAUUCCUGCUUAUAAAUUUGAUUUAUAUUUGCAAAUGGAGCAAAUUUCUAUUUGAGUUCGUGUAAAUGUUGUAACUUUAGGUAAAACUCAAACUUGGAGAAACCUAAAGCAAAAAGGAAAGAUUUUGAGUCUAAAUUAGAGUUGGUUCGAAGUAAUUGAAGAUUAACCGAAUUGCUAGGGUUGAUAAGAAGUAUUAAGAGAGUAAUUAGAGGAAAGUCAUGAUUUUUGGGAGUAAAAUUCAACUUAUGAAAAGUUUGGGUACUAAUUUGUACACUUUCAAAUCUUGAGAAAGAUCAAUUUUGUAUGAUUGUAGAGAGGUUUGGAGACGUUUUUUGAAAGUUGCAUGAUCAGUAUUAAAGAUUUGGACAAAACAGGCCAAAGUCGUACAAAAAACUUCAACUAGGGACGAAAAUGUAAAUAUAUGAAAGUUAUAAUCCGUGGUCUAAAAAUAUGUUUGCUGGGUCUGACAGUGAAUUGUUGUUCUACUACACCCUGUUAGUAUUUUUUUCGAGUUCUGUUUUAUUUCUAAUGAUAUCUUGGUCAGACAGUUCGAUUAUUAUGUAUGUUAUCUUAUUUAUAGAGUAUCCACUGUGUCAAACUCAAAUUUGAUCUCUUUUCAUAAGGAGGGUUACAAACGAGACAUAUAAGAUAAAAGAAGAGAAGAAACAAGGGAGAAGGUAAAGAUAAUGCUAACAUUCAAAGAAUUUGGUGAAGAAGGUAGAUUCUUCUUGCAAGAAAAUCAUAUUUUUCUCUUUUUUCCUUUGAAGGGAUAAUGUACUUCACAACUCUCUUUUUUUUUUUUUUUUCUUUCCUUCCAUUAUUAUGUGAUGCUAAACUAAUAAUUUGAACGGGCACAACUCCAUGAAUUGAACUUGAGUGAUGAGAUUAAAGGCGAUAAGAGUAAAAUUGUGAAUCGCUAGCUUUAAUCAUCAUACUUGAUCAUUAAUUAUUUUUAUUUUUCUUGGUAAAUAUUAAUGUUAAUCAAAAAUUAAAUUGAUAAUUAUAUACAUAAUCUUCGUGCAACAAUAUUCGAACGCUCAUAUCCAUUUAACUACUCAUCUAAUUGAUUUCGCACACUAACGAUUAUUAUGCACCAGUAUAGACAGCACUGGGUUUCAAAGCUUGUUCCAUGAAUCCGGCAUAUCUAUUACAGCUUUCCCGUUAUUUGCUAUGAUAACGUGAGUGUAGGUUCUCUUGCAGUGAUUCUAGUGUUUCAUUAGCGAACCAAACGUAUAGAGAUUGGCAUAAACUGUGUAAGAAAAGGCAAUUAACAAGCAUUUGGAGGCGCAUUAUGUUGCCACAUGUGAUCAGGUGGCUGCCAUUCUAAGGCCUUAGCAGCAACACAAUUUGAGACUGCAUUACAUGUAAGGAAUUUGAAUCGAUCAUGUGGGCUUAUAUGUGUGAAUUAUUGUGUAUUAAAUUAAAGGCUAUCAAAUUUGUUUAAGCCCAGUUAAAAUGAUCUAAUAAAAUUUCGUUAUUUUAAUGCAUCUAAUUAAAGUGAGGGUUUUUAUGUGUAGAGACUGGGCCAUUGUUCCUAAUUCUAUGAUUGAUCGAAUUAUGUUAACAGGCAAUUGGCAUAUAAAUGUGGUUACGGUCCCCACAUCACAAAUAUUGUUCAUUCUUUUCUAUCUCCCAUCAUAAGAGAGAAUAA